UCCACUGUCUUCCCCAUGCCAGUGCAC
rnacentral:piRNA from 1 species